rnacentral:rRNA from 1 species
GACGAAGGAUGCAAGCGUUAUCCGGAUUCAUUGGGUUUAAAGGGUGCGUAGGCGGCCAGAUAAGUCAGUGGUGAAAUCCUGUUGCUUAACAACAGAACUGCCAUUGAUACUGUUUGGCUUGAGUACAGUUGCUGUGGGCGGAAUAUGACAUGUAGUGGUGAAAUACAUAGAGAUGUCAUAGAACACCGAUUGCGAAGGCAGCUCACAAAACUGUAACUGACGCUGAGGCACGAAAGUGCGGGGAUCGAAACAGG